CCACAGGCCGUGAGGGGAAAGCCUGCGCUGCGUGGAGGAGCGGGAGCCAGGAAGGCGAGGAGGAGACGGAGCGGAGAUCAGUGAUUCAGCAGAAUCUUAUGAGCUAGAAAGAGCAUUUAAAGAAAAAGUACUUCUUUCAAUAACUGAUGUAAAAUUUCAGUCGGGAUCUCAUUAAGAAUGACAUGCUGAGCUCACAUGAGAAGAACAACGCCUGUCUUUACUGGAAACAUUGCAAUAAGGCAUCGUCCAAGAGAAAAAUUCCAGGUUUACUCAAGAACAAAAUUACAAAGAGUCAAAUAAAAGAACACAAAGCUGCUCACUGUGCAAACUUUGAGAAGCAGAAUGUUUCAUGGAACUCAAUGACAGUGUUGCAAAGAAAUGCUAAGUGGGCUCCUUUGUGAGCUGACAGAGUGGCUGUAGUUCAGAAUAAGAAAAACAUCUGUGAGGCUUUCCAAAGUCACUGUCAGAGCUGUGUUUUCACUGAGAGGGAAGAGAGAAAAAGAGACUAGCAUCAAAGACAUGCAGAGAAAUCAUGCAAAGAAACUACUUGAAGAACAGGUGUUUCAUGACAAGUCAGAGCACAGUAACCCAGCUGAAAAAAUGCUGUGACAAAGCACAACAUCAGCAUGGGCUUGGCUUCCACUACCAGAGGAAUUUUACUGCCAUUUCCCACUAAAAUCAGGUUUCCUAAAUCACGUCAGUAGGCGUGAUGUGUACUCGGAGGAUCUGGGCCAUCGUGUCAAGAACAAGGCACCUGAAGGACUGGAUUUGGGGAUGGGCAAGUGGAAGGAGGAAGGACUUUAUAUUACCUGCCAUUUCAAGAGGGU